rnacentral:rRNA from 1 species
UACGUAGGGGGCAAGCAUUGUCCGGAAUCAUUGGGCGUAAAGCGCACGUAGGCGGUUUGUUAUGUCGGAUGUGAAAGCCCUUGGCUCAACUGAGGAAGUGCAUCCGAAACUGGCAAGCUAGAGUACUAAAGAGGGUCGCGGAAUUCCCGGUGUAGAGGUGAAAUUCGUAGAUAUCGGGAGGAACACCGGUGGCGAAGGCGGCGACCUGGGUAGAUACUGACGCUGAGGUGCGAAAGCGUGGGGAGCAAACAGG